rnacentral:rRNA from 1 species
UACGUAGGUGGCAAGCGUUGUUCGGAAUUAUUGGGCGUAAAGAGCUCGUAGGUGGCUUGUCGCGUCUGCCGUGAAAGCCCAUGGCUUAACUGUGGGUCUGCGGUGGAUACGGGCAGGCUGGAGGCUGGUAGGGGCAAGCGGAAUUCCUGGUGUAGCGGUGAAAUGCGCAGAUAUCAGGAGGAACACCGGUGGCGAAGGCGGCUUGCUGGGCCAGUUCUGACGCUGAGGAGCGAAAGCGUGGGGAGCGAACAGG